AUUGAACGCUGGCGGCAGGCCUAACACAUGCAAGUCGAACGGUAACAGGAAGAAGCUUGCUUCUUUGCUGACGAGUGGCGGACGGGUGAGUAAUGUCUGGGAAACUGCCUGAUGGAGGGGGAUAACUACUGGAAACGGUAGCUAAUACCGCAUAACGUCGCAAGACCAAAGAGGGGGACCUUCGGGCCUCUUGCCAUCGGAUGUGCCCAGAUGGGAUUAGCUAGUAGGUGGGGUAACGGCUCACCUAGGCGACGAUCCCUAGCUGGUCUGAGAGGAUGACCAGCCACACUGGAACUGAGACACGGUCCAGACUCCUACGGGAGGCAGCAGUGGGGAAUAUUGCACAAUGGGCGCAAGCCUGAUGCAGCCAUGCCGCGUGUAUGAAGAAGGCCUUCGGGUUGUAAAGUACUUUCAGCGGGGAGGAAGGGAGUAAAGUUAAUACCUUUGCUCAUUGACGUCACCCGCAGAAGAAGCACCGGCUAACUCCGUG
rnacentral:rRNA from 1 species